rnacentral:rRNA from 1 species
UACGAAGGGGGCUAGCGUUGUUCGGAGUUACUGGGCGUAAAGAGUGCGUAGGCGGUCCUGUAAGUUUGGUGUGAAAUCUCCCGGCUCAACUGGGAGGGUGCGCCGAAGACUGCAGGGCUUGAGUAUGGGAGAGGUAAGCGGAAUUCCUGGUGUAGCGGUGAAAUGCGUAGAUAUCAGGAGGAACGCCUGUGGUGUAGACAGCUUACUGGACCAUAACUGACGCUGAGGCACGAAAGCGUGGGUAGCAAACAGG